rnacentral:rRNA from 1 species
CCUACGGGAGGCAGCAGUGGGGAAUCUUGCGCAAUGGGCGAAAGCCUGACGCAGCAACGCCGCGUGCGGGAAGAAGGCUUUCGGGCUGUAAACCGCUUUCAGCAGGAACGAAAAUGACGGUACCUGCAGAAGAAGGAGCGGCCAACUAUGUGCCAGCAGCCGCGGUGAUACAUAGGCUUCAAGCGUUGUCCGGAUUUAUUGGGCGUAAAGAGUUCGUAGGCGGUCGAGUAAGUCGGGUGUGAAAAUUCUGGGCUCAACCCAGAGACGCCACCCGAUACUGCUUAACUUGAGUUCGAUAGGGGAGUGGGGAAUUCCUAGUGUAGCGGUGAAAUGCGCAGAUAUUAGGAGGAACACCGGUGGCGAAGGCGCCACUCUGGAUCGAUACUGACGCUGAGGAACGAAAGCAUGGUAGCAAACAGGAUUAGAUACCCUGGUAGUCCAUGCCGUAAACGGUGGGCACUAGGUGUGGGAUUCUAUUAACGAAUUCCGCGCCGUCGCUAACGCAUUAAGUGCCCCGCCUGGGGGAGGUACGGUCGCGAGACGUAAACGUUAAAGUAGAAGUUAAGUACGGCGUUGAGUACGUUGCGAACGGCGACGACGAGGGAGGAGG